rnacentral:rRNA from 1 species
ACUUCUGACGUUAGCGGCGAACGGGUGAGUAACACGUAAGGAGUCUACCUAUAAGCGGGGGAUAACAUUCGGAAACGGGUGCUAAUACCGCAUAAUAUCUUCUUCCGCAUGGAAGAAGAUUGAAAGACGGCUCUGCUGUCACUUAUAGAUGACCUUGCGGUGCAUUAGUUAGUUGGUGGGGUAACGGCCUACCAAGACGAUGAUGCAUAGCCGACCUGAGAGGGUGAUCGGCCACAUUGGGACUGAGACACGGCCCAAACUCCUACGGGAGGCAGCAGUAGGGAAUCUUCCGCAAUGGGCGAAAGCCUGACGGAGCAAUGCCGCGUGAGUGAAGAAGGCCUUCGGGUCGUAAAACUCUGUUAUAAGAGAAGAACAAAUUGUAGAGUAACUGCUACAGUCUUGACGGUAUCUUAUCAGAAAGCCACGGCUAACUACGUGCCAGCAGCCGCGGUAAUACGUAGGUGGCAAGCGUUGUCCGGAUUUAUUGGGCGUAAAGGGAGCGCAGGUGGUUUCUUAAGUCUGAUGUGAAAGCCCACGGCUUAACCGUGGAGGGUCAUUGGAAACUGGGAAACUUGAGUACAGAAGAGGAAUGUGGAACUCCAUGUGUAGCGGUGGAAUGCGUAGAUAUAUGGAAGAACACCAGUGGCGAAGGCGACAUUCUGGUCUGUUACUGACACUGAGGCUCGAAAGCGUGGGGAGCAAACAGGAUUAGAUACCCUGGUAGUCCACGCCGUANACGAUGAGUGCUAGGUGUUGGAGGGUUUCCGCCCUUCAGUGCCGCAGUUAACGCAUUAAGCACUCCGCCUGGGGAGUACGACCGCAAGGU